GCCCGGAUGGUGGAACUGGUAGACACGCCAUCUUGAGGGGGUGGUGGGCCUUUGCCUGUGCGAGUUCGAGUCUCGCUCCGGGCACCA
rnacentral:tRNA from 1 species